GCCGCGGGGCACGUGAUGGGCGGGCGGAGGUGGCCUGCCGGGGGAGGGCCCUGCCCUGGGGUGGUGAAAAGGUAUUUGGAAAGUGAGAACUUCGCGGCUGGAGGGCGGUGGUGCUUCUGUUCGGACCAGGCUGUGACGGUGGGAGUGGAAGUGUUUCUAUAAAUUGCAAAUACAUCAGGACGGAAGUAAAUCAGGGAGCAAUAUACUGGUUAGUGGACUACUACGCGGCUCUUAAGAAACAAACCCUACUUUUAUGCAAAACCAAGGCAACUCUGCACAAAUUCAUAGUUCCAUUCUAUAUUUCAUGUUGUGUAUGAGUGGAUAAUAUAGAACCCGUAAGUAAUGCAUACGUGACGGCACCUUAUGUAAUUAUUUUUGAGUGGUGCCGGGCGUGGAACCGAGGGCCUUCUUCGUGCUGGGCGGCCAUCUACUGCGGAGGCACAUCCCCUACCGGAUCUUUUUUUUACCACGUGUAAGAAAAGAGGCUACAUUUACCUGUGUGUAUAAUGGAUGGGAUUGAGGAGGGUAAAGUCUACAUGUUGGAUUUUUUGUGUGUUGUUUGAAAUUUUUUUACACUUUAUGAGUUAGCUGCUAAAAUACUGUUAAAAGAAAAAGCAAAGUAAUUUUUUAUUCAUCCGGCUAAAAUGUAUUGAAUAUGUACUGUUUCAUGCAUUGCCCGACGAAGCUGGGGCACAGUCCUGUUGUAAAGAAGCGGUUGUAGGGAUUGCUCCGUGGUGCAGCUUGCUUGCCUGUUUCCAGCUCAGGGAUCCACUCCCAGCACGACGACGAAGAAACAAAAAAACACAUACACACAGGUUGUGGAAGAUGUAGAGAACAAAGGUGUUGAAAGGGACCGGAAAGGUUAUCUAGAGAAAAUGACUUCUGAACCAGAAAUAUGAAAGAUCAGUGAAAACUUGUCAAAAGGACAAAGGUUUGGGGAAAACACCUGAAUUUUGAGGAUGAAGAGCAGGCUAUGCAAAGUUCAGGUCUCCGUUCAGGGAAUUUAAAGCACUGCUGUAUUUUCCUCUCACCUGAAGUCAACUAGGAGGGAUUUCAAAAACUGGGGAGAAUUUAAUAUGUGGUCCUUGGAUUUUGGAGCUCCAUCACUCCAGAGAAACAAGCCGGUGAUCACCGUGCCUUUGUAAGGAAGCCCGCUCUGACCUCUGGAACUCUGACCCUUGGAAGCUCAUCACUGACAAACAGUGAUGCUGAGCGAAGGGUGAAGCCCUACUAUGAUCCCUCAUGGAUUGUACUUGCUCUGUGUGUGUCCUUUAUAUUAAAACUAUUGUUGCAAAGAAAAAAGCAAACAACAAAAUUAAAGCUAUUAUUGUAACUGUGGUACUUUUCUGAGUUCUCUGAAUUGUUCUAGUAAAUUAUCACACCUGAGGGUGAUGUGGGAACUCUUGAAUUUGCAGCUAGUAAGUCAGAAGUAUAGGUGGCCCAGAGACGCAUCUUAGGAGAGUUGGCCCUUACAGUAUCUGUGCCAGCUCUGGGUGGUUUGUGUCAGAAAUGUAUCACAGUGCACUCGAUUGGUGUUACCUUACUUGAAGUUAAAAUAACAUGCUAUAUAACUGUACUGUAGUGUUCAGAUUUUGGUUGUUCAAAGUAAUUUAAAAAUUGAUUUCUCAUAAUUCUGUAGGUUGAUUGGGUUUAUUAGGUUGGCUCUAACUUGUGGUCUGCUAUCUAAGUGUAGGGAAAUAGUGGCUGAAGCCUUAGCAGGUAGCGCCUGGAUCAGGAUGUGUGAGCAGCCAGAGCUGACUGGAUCUCUCUGUCCUCAUAACUAGCCUGGGAUUUCUCUUGUCAUGAUGACCUCAGAGUAGUCAGACUUCUCAUGUGGUGGCCGGCUUCUGUGCAGGAGGUGAACAAAUAGGUUUCGUGUGUUGUUCAGGCCUCCCACCCACUGAUACGUAGAACCGAGUUUUGCCUUAGACUUACUGGAUUUUUCUUGCAUUGCUAUCUUGGUAGUCUCCUGCCUCCAUCCACCCGUACCCACGUUCACGACACACUGAAUUUUUCCACAAUAUAACUCAUACAGACCCAAAGGACCCAAAAGUUGUGGAAAGACGAUGGCUAUCUGAACAACAAUGGUUUAAAUGAACAGUUAAAGUGGAAAACUCAUUUUGCUGAUUCAUAAUUUGCAGCACUCAUCCCUACAUUAUUUAUUUAUUUAUUUAGGCAGGAUCUGACUCUGUAGUUCAUGCUGGCCU